GACGAACGCUGGCGGCGUGCCUAAUACAUGCAAGUCGAACGCUUCUUUCCUCCCGAUUGCUUGCACUCAAUUGGAAAGAGGAGUGGCGGACGGGUGAGUAACACGUGGGUAACCUACCCAUCAGCGUGGGAUAACACUUGGAAACAGGUGCUAAUACCGCAUAACAGUUUAUGCCGCAUGGCAUAAGAGUGAAAGGCGCUUUCGGGUGUCGCUGAUGGAUGGACCCGCGGUGCAUUAGCUAGUUGGUGAGGUAACGGCUCACCAAGGCAACGAUGCAUAGCCGACCUGAGAGGGUGAUCGGCCACACUGGGACUGAGACACGGCCCAGACUCCUACGGGAGGCAGCAGUAGGGAAUCUUCGGCAAUGGACGAAAGUCUGACCGAGCAACGCCGCGUGAGUGAAGAAGGUUUUCGGAUCGUAAAACUCUGUUGUUAGAGAAGAACAAGGACGUUAGUAACUGAACGUAUCCUGACGGUAUCUAACCAGAAAGCCACGGCUAACUACGUG
rnacentral:rRNA from 1 species